UCCCAAACCAAUCCGAGCAAUCCGAUCCCUGAAGGAAGGAGAGGCACAGGCAGGUGAGGGGCAGAUGGCUGUGUAGGGACUGGGAGCAGUGACUGGUGUGUGAGCUUGCUCAUGCUUUGGUGGCAUUUGCCCCAUGGAAGCCAGAUGUUUCCCUGUGGGACACAGCUGCCAGAUAUGCUGUUGGAUGUGAUGCAGUGAGAUGUGACAGGCUGGUGGUGGAAGAACCUGUCUGGAUCUGAUGGAAGAGCUCCUGGUGGGGCAGGACAUGGGGUGCAUAGCCCAGGACCACCACAUCAGAGGCUCUCAUGCUUGAGUGAGGUCCAGGCUGCGAGUCCACAGCCUUACAGCUAGGCACAUCACCCAGGAAGCAGGAGCAAGACCCCAAACUUUGUUCAGACUUCCUCCACACACAAAAGAAAGCCCUGACUGGACUUGGGAGCAUGGAGGGAGAGCCAGGCUGUCAGAGUCACGCGUUUGCCUGUGGGAUACCAGGAGAGAAGGGACUGAUCCUGACCCAGCUCAUGGCAGGAUCUGCUCCAGGAGUUUUCCUGCCUGGCACUUGGUCUCCAGCUCCGCUGUGUACAGCAGGUUCAGCAGCAGGUCCAGGCCCCCCUCCAGGCGGAUCACAUCACACAGCACUUUGGCCACAUC